GGCAAACAACUUACUGGUGCAUUACCGCCACCAACUGAUAUGGAGUGUAGACCAGACUAAAACAACAACAACAAAACCUAUAUCCUCUGACGUAAAUUAGUUUCUCUGUUUCUCAAUUCCAAGAACGCAGAGAACAGACUUGCAUUCUCAUGGAGCCUGGUCUUGUCUGUGGCCUGUUGCUCAAAGCCGGUUUCACCCAGGUACAUUGAGCUAACGUGAAGUGCUAGCGGGUACCGCAACUACAUGUGAGAGGCUGCCUUUGUUCCUGAGAGACAGGCCUCGUGUUGUGGUUGACCACAUCAUGGAUCGCCAUCUCAAGGCCAUGUCCUACCGCCGGGAAGAUGUCACAGUGCACAGUGUAGUUUAAAGGAUUAGUCCAUUAUUCAAAUUAAAAAUUUAAAAGCACAUUUUAACAAUUGUAUUAAUGGCCACAAAAUAAUUAUAAAAUGGGGGGUUACUUGAUCUUAAAAAGGUCUUUAAAAAGUCUUAUAUCUAAUAUCAUAAAACUUGCAGAAACCUUAUAGUCAGUUGCAAACUUAGACUGUACGAAAAAGUAACUAAAUGUAAAGCUAACUUUGCAUUGCAUGUUGCUGUAGACCGCAAUUAAAACUGUCAAGGUGAUGAUACACGGGGCAACUUUUUGAGCCGGGCAGUGUUUCCGAGCGAUUUUGCUUGGGCACUUUCCCAUUGAGAAUGGGCAACAAAUUUCUAUCUGGAUACUUUAGAUCAACAUUUGUUGCCCAUUCUCAAUGGGAAAGUGCCCGGCAACAUUGCUCAAAAAGUUGCUCCGUGUAUAUCACCUUCAGCUGUACUAGUUGUGGCUUGUUGUUAUUGAUUUUGACUUCUAUGACAAACUUUAAUCUUUGCUUUUUUAAUGGGUAUUUAAAAAGAGAUGCUUUUAAAGACCUUUCAAACACAAAUGAAUAAAGAAAAAAGAAGGAAAUCCUUACUUCUCCCACAGUUGACAAGAAACACAGUAUUGGACAUGUUUAUCUGAAGCACAUCUGAGGCCUGGGAUUUUUUUUUUAAUCAUCUCUUCACUGCCACAGGUCUUGUCUUGCUCUGUGCACACUGGCUUUGCAAGACAAUAUGCGAGUUGGGUUGUCAUUUGUGAUUCAGCCUCAUUUGCUCUUCCAGCAUGACCAAGGAGGGUUCCUGGAUUCCUGUGAAGGUUGCGGUGAGAUACCGGCCUCUGGUUCUCAAAGAGAUAAGGGAUGGAUGUCAGUACAGUAUUAAUUUUGUACCUGGUAAACCUCAGAUCAUUGUUGGCAAUGACAAGGAUUUCAUCUUUGAUUAUGUGUUUGACCCCACAACGGAACAGGAGGAGGUUUUCAACACUGCUGUGUCUCCAUUGUCUGGGCUUUUUAAAGAUUUAUAAAGCAGUCCCACUAAGAUUUUGCAGAGCUCUGAUUUUUGCAGCCAAAAGUGGCUGACACCAUGCUGCUGCAACAAAAUUCAGUGAUGACAACAGCACAGAAAUAAGGUUGAAUGUCGGCCAUGUUGGUGUUUUCAUUAACUGGCCUCAGGGGACUUUUCAAAUCUUGAGAUUUCUGGAAUUCAUCAGAUCAAAAAGCCAGUCGAAUGUCUCCAGGAAUUUACAUGUUGGCUCACAGCCAUCAAAUUGGGGCAGCUGCAUGUGUCACUCACAAAUUCACUUUUUUUCUUGGUAGCACUGGUGCUCCCAACUUCAAAUAUUUAGGAGCACCAACAAAGAUUUUAGGAGAACCCACCAAUAAUUAAGGAGCCCCACAACUACAAUUUAUAAUAGAGGUCAACCAAUAUAGGUUUUUCCCUGGCCGAUGGCGAUAUUUAGAAAUCAGAGAAGCCGAUAUAUGAUGCCUUUUUUUUUUUUUGUCUGAUUUUCUGUUUUUCCCCCUUUCAUCUCAUAAAAUCUUUCAGUUAAGUAAUAAAUGAUACAGAAAAUUGCUUAAAUGAAAUAAUUAUUGAACAUCACAAGCCUUUACAUUUUAUUAAAUGUAAAGUUUUAUUAAAUGGAUUAUAUAGGCUGUAGCGCAAAAGCGAGCCUUUUACAAUCACUAAAACACUGUUGCUUUGUCAGCUCAUCGUGAUCUCACAAAGUUCCUUUAUAUUCAGUGAAGCUGAACUGUUUGUUAAUGAGAGGUUUUGUGAGCCUGCAUAACUUGGCACUGAAUAAAACUCUGAUUCUGACUAAAUUAAAUACCUCUGAUUGGCCAUUGCGUUCAAGAGAUCACCAACUGUCAACCACUGCAAAAAUUGUAAAUAGAUACAUUUUACGUUCUCCAG